rnacentral:rRNA from 1 species
GACGAACGCUGGCGGCGCGCCUAACACAUGCAAGUCGAACGAGCGAGAGAGAGCUUGCUUUCUCAAGCGAGUGGCGAACGGGUGAGUAACGCGUGAGGAACCUGCCUCAAAGAGGGGGACAACAGUUGGAAACGACUGCUAAUACCGCAUAAGCCCACAGCUCGGCAUCGAGCAGAGGGAAAAGGAGUGAUCCGCUUUGAGAUGGCCUCGCGUCCGAUUAGCUAGUUGGUGGUAACGGCACACCAAGGCGACGAUGUCUAGGGGUUCUGAGAGGAAGGUCCCCCACACUGGAACUGAGACACGGUCCAG